GGCGAACGGGUGAGUAACACGUGGGUGAUCUGCCCUGCACUCUGGGAUAAGCCUGGGAAACUGGGUCUAAUACCGGAUGGGACCAUGCUUUAGUGUGUGUGGUGGAAAGUUUUUUCGGUGUAGGAUGAGCCCGCGGCCUAUCAGCUUGUUGGUGGGGUAAUGGCCUACCAAGGCGGCGACGGGUAGCCGGACUGAGAGGUUGGUCGGCCACAUUGGGACUGAGAUACGGCCCAG
rnacentral:rRNA from 1 species